rnacentral:rRNA from 1 species
GACGUAGGGCGCGAGCGUUGUCCGGAUUUAUUGGGCGUAAAGAGCUCGUAGGCCGCUUGUCGCGUCGACUGUGAAAACCCGCGGCUCAACUGCGGGCCUGCAGCCGAUACGGGCAGGCUAGAGUUCGGUAGGGGAGACUGGAAUUCCUGGUGUAGCGGUGAAAUGCGUAGAUAUCUGGAGGAACACCGGUGGCGAAGGCGGCAUCCUGGACCGACACUGACACUGAGGAGCGAAAGCCAGGGGAGCAAACGGG